CCCGAUGUCCAGCCACGUGGCACAGAGGCCCGUGUGGUGAAGGAGUGAAGCCUCUGCCGACAGCCACGUGAGUGAGUCUUCUCCAUCUCCUGCCAGCCUGUGAAGACUGCAGCCCCAGGGCACGACUUCCCCGCAGCCUCCUGGAGAUCCUGAGCCAGAAACCCCAGCUAGCUGCUCCCAGAAUCCUGACCCUCAAAAACCAUGCAAGGUAGCAGAUCCCUUGUGCCAAACCCGCCGAGCCUGUGAUCAAGCACGUACCGCCUCCUGCAACAAUCUGGAAACGUCCAGCCCACCUCCCCGCUGAGCCUAGCAAGACAAGAUUCCAUCUUCUGUCCCAGCCUCGGCCCCAGGCCUGACCCAGGAGGGGGGCGGGGCUUUUCAGAGCUUGAUCCCAAGGUCACCUUGAGCUUUGCCCUUCCCCCGUCCCAACGCUGUUGCCCCUUGGCUUUCCUGCAGCUUUGAAUACAAGGAGAGCAGAGACCCAGGGGAACAAAACAGACAUUCGCAUGAGUCGGAGUCUCUGGGGGUUUGGGAUGCAAUACAGUCCACCCCACGGCGGCGUUCUUCGUAUAGAACUUUGUCUUCACUUUGAAGUGAACAAACUUCUUGCUUCACCUGAGUUCUGCAGACUAAGAGGG